CCCUUAGAUGUCCUGGGCUGCACGCGCGCUACACUGAUGCGCUCAACGAGUUUUUGAUCUUGCCUGAAAUGGCUUGGUAAUCUUUUUAAAACGCAUCGUGAUGGGGAUAGAUUAUUGCAAUUAUUAAUCUUCAACGAGGAAUGCCUAGUAAGCGCAAGUCAUCAGCUUGCGUUGAUUACGUCCCUGCCCUUUGUACACACCGCCCGUCGCUCCUACCGAUUGAAUGGUCCGGUGAAGCGUUCGGACCGUGGCCUUUGGACGGUUCGCCGUCUGUUGGCUGCGGGAAGUUCGUUAAACCUUAUCAUUUAGAGGAAGGAGAAGUCGUAACA
rnacentral:rRNA from 1 species